UACGUAGGCAGCGAGCGUUGUUCGGAAUUACUGGGCGUAAAGAGUGUGUAGGCGGUGCUCUAAGUUCGGUGUGAAAUCUCCCGGCUUAACUGGGAGGAUGCGCCGGAAACUGGAGUGCUCGAGCGUGGGAGAGGAAAGCGGAAGUUCCUGGUGUAGCGGUGAAAUGCGUAGAUAUCAGGAGGAACACCUGCGGUGUAGACGGCUUUCUGGACCAUUGCUGACGCUGAGACACGAAAGCGUGGGUAGCAAACAGG
rnacentral:rRNA from 1 species